UGGCAGCUUAACUGUCAGGCUUCUAAGGGAUACUGUCAGGCUUGGGACCGGAAGAGGUAAGGGGUACUCCAGGGGUAGGAGUGAAAUCUUGUAAUCCCUGGGGGACCAUCAGUGGCGAAGGCGCCUUACCAGAACGGGUCCGACGGUGAGGGACGAAAGCUAGGGGAGCAACCCGGAUUAGAUACCCGGGUAGUCCUAGCUGUAAACGAUGCUCGCUAGGUGUCAGACACGGUGCGACCGUGUUUGGUGCCGCAGGGAAGCCGUUAAGCGAGCCACCUGGGAAGUACGGUCGCAAGGCUGAAACUUAAAGGAAUUGGCGGGGGAGCACUACAACGGGUGGAGCCUGCGGUUUAAUUGGAUUCAACGCCGGAAAACUCACCGGGUGCGACAGCAACAUGUAGGUCAGGCUGAAGGUCUUACCUGAUCGCUGAGAGGAGGUGCAUGGCCGUCGUCAGUUCGUACUGUGAAGCAUCCUGUUAAGUCAGGCAACGAGCGAGACCCGCGCCCACAGUUGCCAGCAUGUUCUCUGGAACGAUGGGUACACUGUGGGGACCGCCGCUGCUAAAGCGGAGGAAGGAACGGGCUACGGUAGGUCAGUAUGCCCCGAAUCUCCCGGGCUACACGCGGGCUACAAUGGUUGGGACAAUGGGCACCUACCCUGAAAAGGGACGGUAAUCUCCGAAACCCAACCGUAGUUCGGAUUGAGGGCUGUAACUCGCCCUCAUGAAGCUGGAAUCCGUAGUAAUCGCGUUUCAACAUAGCGCGGUGAAUACGUCCCUGCUC
rnacentral:rRNA from 1 species